rnacentral:rRNA from 1 species
GCAAGUCGAGCGAAGCUUUUCAGUAGUUUACUACAGAAAAUGACUGAGCGGCGAACGGGUGAGUAACGCGUGAGCAACCUACCUUAGUUACUGGGAUAGCCCGAGGAAACUCGGAUUAAUACCGGAUAUUCUUAUUUAAUCACAUGAUUUUUUAAGGAAAGGUCAGCCGAACUAAGAUGGGCUCGCGUUCUAUCAGCUAGUUGGUAGGGUAAUGGCCUACCAAGGCUACGACGGAUAGCUGGUCUGAGAGGACGAUCAGCCACACUGGGACUGAGACACGGCCCAGACUCCUACGGGAGGCUGCAGCAGGGAAUAUUGCGCAAUGAGCGAAAGCUUGACGCAGCGACACCGCGUGUGGGAUGACGGAUCUAGGUUUGUAAACCACUUUCAGGAGGGAAGAAAAUGACGGUACCUCCACAAGAAGCCCCGG